GGGCUUGUAGCUCACCUGGUAGAGCGCCUCAUUCGCAUUGAGGAGGUAAGGGGUUCGACUCCCCUCAAGUCCA
rnacentral:tRNA from 1 species